GGCAGUGACAUGAGUGAACCAGGGACAGACCAGAGCCAGCUGGCCGUCAGGGGAGCUCCAUCCUCCAGUUUCUCUUCAUCUUCAUCUUCAGCGACUGGCCUGGCCCACACUUUGCACCCCCUCCAUGGCUGAGCUGCUCAGUCAAGCAGGAAGACCAUCCUGCGAGAUGCCACAGGAUAAGGUGGGUGUGGGCCAGGGAGGCCCUGCCCAUUGGGGCUGUUUUGAAUUGUCCCUUUCUCUCCCUCUGACCCCAACUGCCUACUGUGGGAUGCACCCCAGGCUCCGGUCUGCACCUGUGGCCAGUGUGACUUGCUGGUGAGGCUGGCACUAGCAGCCCGUGGACUUGGAGGCUCAAAGCUCUGACGAGGAACAGAGCCGACUGGGCAGGACCACGGGCGAGCUCAUUGGGGACAAGCCUGGAAGACAGGAGUGUCUCCCAACAUGAUCAGUUAUACAUGAGGGUCCUGCUUUACCCCCAAGUAGAAAUGCAGCAACCAAAACAUCAAUAACUGGUUUAAAUGAAAACAUUAAUUAACAUUUGUGGAAAUCACCCCACGCAGGGAUCCAGGGACGGGAUCAUGCAGCUCCGAGGCGGCACCCAGGCUCACUUCCUGGUCUUGCUCGCCACCCCAGGUCCUGAAGUACAACAGUUGGGUUUUGCCCCCUCAAGACGGGCACAGAGACUUCUGGCCCUUCCCCUUUUCAAUCCAAAUGUUCCAAUACGCACCUCAAGUUUUCUCUCCCUCGGGGCGUGGAAGAGAGGGCUGCUGUGGCCCACCCUCUGAGGGCUGUCUACACUAAUUUCUGUAAGUGAAAGUCCUAGCAAGACCCCAUCUGUGCCCUGGGAGCACCCAGGGUACCCCAGAAGCUAUUUGUAAAUGGAUUUACCUGGAGACUAGAAAACCCUCUGGGAAAAUAUCUGCGCCCCUGUUCAUGGCUGGGACCCAGCAUUCCCAGACAGGCCUGAGAGAGCUGAGGACCACUUCUGGGAAGGACCCGCAGAGGUGCAGAGGAGAGGAUCCCAGGGCCCUGGGCCCAGGCCAGCUCCAGCCCCGAGGGCUUCCAGAGAACCGGUCUGGUGAGCUCUUGUCACUCUCCCAGGAUCUUUCCUCAAGCCUGCCAUUCUGGAAACUCUUCAAGACUGAAGGAGGUGUUCCCUUGAUUCUGACUCCAGGGGCCUGACCAGCUGUGGAGUUCACUACUGAGUGCGAAUGAGGAACCUAAUAUCUGUACUCCUCUUUCUCCUUAGUAGAGGAAUUUCUCCUAAGUCCAGAACCUGGCUCGGUGGACCCUGUGCCCUGCUUGGCCAUAAUAGGUACAUGGUAGGUAUUAUGUAACCAAGUGAAUGGGGCUCUCCUGCAUCCUGAAGCUCAAGUCAUCCGCUGUCGGUUGAUGACUCUCCAUGGUAGUUCCCCCAGAUGACCAGCCCAAGUCCAUCAAAAGGUGCUGACCCAAAUUUUGAGUGACACUCCAGGACAUGUGAGGCUCAGCAGCUGGCGACGGCACUGGGGAGCACCCCAUAAGGCUGAGCAACAUUGGGACUCUCUUCUGGCUUCCCAGAAGGCAAGUUCCUCAUGCCUAGGGGAAUUGUCAUGGGAGAAGAGGUUCCUCCAAAGAAGGGUCCGAGGAGUUCCCAGAGAGGGGGGUUCUUGGCAUAAGGAUCUCGGCACAAAACAGUCAGAAGUGUAGACAUUUGGUUACUUAGGAAGGUAGGUUCUCAUUCAAGGGAGGGUGGGGCCAUCUGGAGAGUGAGAGAGACAGUUUUCGGGUUCCCAGUUCUUCCUUUAAGGGAAACUCGGUGAGGGGUGGGUAUGGGAAGGUGAGUAGGAACUACACUAGUCUGGUGAUCUCAAGAUGGUUUCUGGUAAGCUGGUCAAUCUCCAGAUCCUCAGGCUGACCUUGUCUUCAUUAUCUGAUCAGUAGAUAGUACUGGAUCCCCUGAAUUAUCUCAAAAUAUCAUAUCUCUCUUGACUUCAUAAAUUUAUUGGUAGGUGAGGAUAAUUGACAGUGCACAAGUAGAUUUACAGAUUUCCCAGGAAUUUGGGAGUUAACAGGCCUAGGAGAGAGACUGGCUUAGGAAGUGACAGACCUGGAAAAGCAGGUGGGACUUCUGACUAAGUUUUAUUUUCUUGUCCUUUCUUUAUGUCUCCUUUCUACCUAUUUUUAAUUUUUUCUAUCCUACCUAAGGACUGCUACAAAUCAUGUGACAAUAUUAAUGUGCCCACAGUUAUAUUCUCAGAGUGUUGAGCGAUAUUAGGUUUACAUUUCAUUUAAUUCCCAUAAGUUAAAAGAGAGACACAUCCCCAUUUUAUAGAUGAAUAAAGUUUCAGCACAACAAUGCAAGUGCCAAGCCCCACCAAAUCUCAGAGGCACAUAGCUAGAACAUGUCUUUCUCACCAGACACCUGCAGGUUGGCUGUGGUUCAGUGGAUCUGGCUACACUCAGCAAGGCUCUGGUCCAGGCUGGGCUGUGUCCAGCCAUGCUCUGUGUGUCCUUUAUUCUGAGAUCAGCAGGCAACUAGGGCACGUUCAUCCUAAAUAUGUCAGGUAAAAAUGUGCCACCUGGGUGCAUGCCUGUAGCCUCAGCAAAAGCGGUGUGCUAGGCCACUCGGUGAGAUCCUGCCUCUAAAUAAAAUAAAAAUAGAGCUGGGGAUGUGGCUCAGUGGCUGAGUGUCUCUAUCCUGGGUACCCCCCCCCCACCGCCCCAAAAAAAUGUGCCACUUGGGUGUAAGAAUUUCUGAGAGUCGUGGGUGCAGAAGAGGAUUCUUCCUUCCAUUUUCUGCCUAAAAUCAGGGCAUAAAUUUCCCUUGAGAAAGGGUCUACCUGUCCCAUACCAGAAAGAGGAGAGACUCUAGGACCAGAGGUGGAAAGCCAGCUCCUGGUCACUCUGCAGAAACAACCUUAUCCUGUUUAUUUCCCAGUCACUUCCCCAUGAUUCAGCCCUCCUGCAAGCCCAAGCCCCCUUUCCUUUGUUAAGGUGGUACGUAAGGCCCCAAGGCUGACCACUUAAAUUUCACUUUUUUUUCUAUAAACUUCCAUGCAUGUAACAUACUGAUAAAAAUUAUAUGCCUUUUCUUCUGUACAUCUCUUUUGUUACCUUUAAAUUUACAGACCUCCAGGAAUGAAUCUAAAAAGAUGGAGGAAAAGUUUUUCUUUCUCAACAAUCUCAUGGCCAGAAGGAUCAAAGGCACAACUCAGCCACACAUUUGAAGGCUUUGUUCCUGUCACUUCCACUAAAGGUCCCUUGGCCAAAGCACAAGAAUGCAGCCAAGUCAAGUCAUGGGCCACACGGAGAGGAGAGGGGCUGGUUUAAGGCUUCCAUUGUCUGAUACCAAAGCUGGAGCUGCUUCCAUUUCGGGCCCCCCCUUAGGAAUUCCUCUGGCUUGUUGUCUUUACUGCCCAACAAAGCAAUUAGUUACAUACUUUUGCCACAUUAUUCAGGUCUUAGUUCUUUGGUGUUUGCUUUGUGUCCCCAGUAGAAUUUUUGAGUUAUUUCAUCAAGGGCACUUCUGGGUCACCCUAGCACUGAUCGUGCUGGCUGAGAGAAGGUACACAGUGAGUAAUUGUAAUGGCAAUGGUAUUGUUUUUUUCUUUCUUGCAAUCCUGAAGAUCAAUCAAAACAAGAACCUCAUGCAUGGAAAAUGUGUGUGUCCUACCACCGAGCUGUACCCCCAGCCCAUAAUUUGUAGAAGGACUGGUCAGGUGCAUUUUCUCCUACCUUCCUACCAAGAAACCUGUGGUAUGCACCACUGUGGGUAUCCUGGCAGAUUCCACAGAAACAAGCCCCGAAGAGCUGAGCACAUUACUGUGGCCCCACAGUGCUGGGAGAAUUUGACAGCUCUUCAUUAUGUCGGAGCAUCUUCUAUCAGCAGGUAUGGCUAGAUUAAUCAGCACUGCAUCCUGGAAGACUUAAUUAGCAGCUCCUUGCCAGAACUCGGCUUAUUAAAAGCAGACAAGGUAGGAAGGAAGGUAGGAGGGAAGAAAGGAAGAAUUCUAAACUUAUAACCUUAUUCUGAGUUACUCUUCAUGCAAACCUGAGACCCAAAUCUCACCUGAACAGUCAAGAUCUGGAAGCUAACUCAGGAAAGGCUUCCCUCUCAGACUGAUGAGGCUAAUGCUGGCGAUGCUUACUUUUCCCUCACUGUGCACAGGGUCAUUCAUCCAUCAACUUUGUUCUUCAUCUUACUUCAUCUUCUAGAUUCUACUGUAUAAUUAUUAUCCUUUUGCAUCUGAGGAAAAUCCAUCUUAAAGAGAUUUGUGACCUUCCCUGCGUCCCAGUACUUACAAGAUGGUGAAGUUGUGAAAGAAAUCCUGGAAAAAUAAUCUUUGCUCUUGAGCUUUCUAUGUUAAGUUCCUACUGUGAUCAUUUAAUUUUCAUAAACUAUUUCAAACAUUAAAAAGUGUGGAAGAUACUAGGGUACCCAUCAACCAGUUUUGAAAUAAAAAGGGGCUUUUUUAAUUUUUUUAAUGAUCAAUUUUUUAAGAAUUACAAACCAAAAAUAUUCCAUAAUUCCUCCCUCUCUACCCAGAGGCCACCUUUAUUUCUGUUCAGUAUUUCUAAUUCAGUGUGAUCAAAUAACAUUAUUUAUCCAUUCUCUGUUGGAUUUGGUUAUGUGUCGGUGAGUAUUUUCUGUAUGUGUCUUCUUUAUGCGUAUGUUCUAGAAGUUUCCUAGAAUACACUAAAAAGUGCAGGGGCUGUCAGAGAGCAUGCUUGUUUUCCACCACGUGGCCCUAGAGCUCUCCAGGGUGGUGAAAGCCACGCCCACUCCCCUAGGAGGUCUGGCUGUUCUCCCAUCUCCUCAUCUCCUCAGCAGCCAGC
rnacentral:lncRNA from 1 species